CUGGCUCAGGAUGAACGCCGGCGGUGUGCCUAAUACAUGCAAGUCGUACGCACUGGCCCAACUAAUUGAUGGUGCUUGCACCUGAUUGACGAUGGAUCACCAGUGAGUGGCGGACGGGUGAGUAACACGUAGGUAACCUGCCCCGGAGCGGGGGAUAACAUUUGGAAACAGAUGCUAAUACCGCAUAACAACAAAAGCCACAUGGCUUUUGUUUGAAAGAUGGCUUUGGCUAUCACUCUGGGAUGGACCUGCGGUGCAUUAGCUAGUUAGUAAGGUAACGGCUUACCAAGGCGAUGAUGCAUAGCCGAGUUGAGAGACUGAUCGGCCACAAUGGAACUGAGACACGGUCCAUACUCCUACGGGAGGCAGCAGUAGGGAAUCUUCCACAAUGGGCGCAAGCCUGAUGGAGCAACACCGCGUGAGUGAAGAAGGGUUUCGGCUCGUAAAGCUCUGUUGUUGGAGAAGAACGUGCGUGAGAGUAACUGUUCACGCAGUGACGGUAUCCAACCAGAAAGUCACGGCUAACUACGUGCCAGCAGCCGCGGUAAUACGUAGGUGGCAAGCGUUAUCCGGAUUUAUUGGGCGUAAAGCGAGCGCAGGCGGUUGCUUAGGUCUGAUGUGAAAGCCUUCGGCUUAACCGAAGAAGUGCAUCGGAAACCGGGCGACUUGAGUGCAGAAGAGGACAGUGGAACUCCAUGUGUAGCGGUGGAAUGCGUAGAUAUAUGGAAGAACACCAGUGGCGAAGGCGGCUGUCUGGUCUGCAACUGACGCUGAGGCUCGAAAGCAUGGGUAGCGAACAGGAUUAGAUACCCUGGUAGUCCAUGCCGUAAACGAUGAGUGCUAGGUGUUGGAGGGUUUCCGCCCUUCAGUGCCGGAGCUAACGCAUUAAGCACUCCGCCUGGGGAGUACGACCGCAAGGUUGAAACUCAAAGGAAUUGACGGGGGCCCGCACAAGCGGUGGAGCAUGUGGUUUAAUUCGAAGCUACGCGAAGAACCUUACCAGGUCUUGACAUCUUGCGCUAACCUUAGAGAUAAGGCGUUCCCUUCGGGGACGCAAUGACAGGUGGUGCAUGGUCGUCGUCAGCUCGUGUCGUGAGAUGUUGGGUUAAGUCCCGCAACGAGCGCAACCCUUGUUACUAGUUGCCAGCAUUAAGUUGGGCACUCUAGUGAGACUGCCGGUGACAAACCGGAGGAAGGUGGGGACGACGUCAGAUCAUCAUGCCCCUUAUGACCUGGGCUACACACGUGCUACAAUGGACGGUACAACGAGUCGCAAGCUCGCGAGAGUAAGCUAAUCUCUUAAAGCCGUUCUCAGUUCGGACUGUAGGCUGCAACUCGCCUACACGAAGUCGGAAUCGCUAGUAAUCGCGGAUCAGCAUGCCGCGGUGAAUACGUUCCCGGGCCUUGCACACACCGCCC
rnacentral:rRNA from 1 species